ensembl:lncRNA
CUGGCUUGCAGCAAUUUGAGUACUUCUACCGCCUUGUUUAUACCAUUUUAAAUAUCUAAUGAAUACAAUAUGCUGUCCCCAAAAUAAUAUUGCAUAUAAGGCCUGUAAAUUUAGAGUUGAAAGUUUUAUAAAAGAACUUGGCACAUUACCUCUCUGUAAACAUUAACCGAGCGUUCCUUAAAAUGCUUUCCCAAGCUUCUAUUGCACCCAACAAGAAGUCAGGGGAGUACAGGUAGCCAGGAUGGAGUGCCAAUGCAGUGGACAAGCUUUUUCUUGUUCCACUGUAUUUGGUAGAUAUUUUCCCACCUCUAACAACUGUUCACUUAAAUGUUGUUUUUCAGGGAGCAGCAGAUGCCAAUAUAUUCCUGAGGGAAGGGGCCCAGGAGCCAAGUGUGGCUGCAGCACGGGCAGCGAUGGGUGCCAGCAACGGGGCCCAGACGUGAGGAGCAAAGGAUCCGUCCAGGGAGCCCACUCAGGACCAAAGGAAACAGUUCUGUCUCAGAGGAUCCCCCAGCUGGUACUACUUGUGGAUGAUGCCCCAUCUGCUUUUGCUGCUGCUGAAGACAUGCAGAUCCUAGUGUGUGAAGUCAAGAAGCCUCUUCCCCUUCCCUUAUAAAAACUCUCACUCUGAGCAUUUCUUGCUGCUGUGCACAAAAUGUCUGUGAUAAGGAUGCAGAGAGAUGCUGUGGUCACAUCUUCCUUCCUCUGGCUGACAGUGAGUAUCAACUAUUUCAUUUCAGAAAGUGUGGCACAUGCUCAUGUUCCCAUUAAUGUCA